GGGUUGUGAGGUUAAGCGACUAAGCGUACACGGUGGAUGCCCUGGCAGUCAGAGGCGAUGAAGGACGUGCUAAUCUGCGAUAAGCGUCGGUAAGGUGAUAUGAACCGUUAUAACCGGCGAUUUCCGAAUGGGGAAACCCAGUGUGAUUCGUCACACUAUCAUUAACUGAAUCCAUAGGUUAAUGAGGCGAACCGGGGGAACUGAAACAUCUAAGUACCCCGAGGAAAAGAAAUCAACCGAGAUUCCCCCAGUAGCGGCGAGCAAAGGGCAG
rnacentral:rRNA from 1 species